ACUUUCGAGGAGCGUUGCAAGGCCCGUCCCGUCGUUGAACACGGCGCGAACCGCUGGCCCCAGGCUCGAAAGCUUCUCCUUUUGCAACGGCGCUCACCCGCA
rnacentral:ncRNA from 2 species